rnacentral:misc_RNA from 1 species
AAGUCGUAACAAGGUAUCCGUAGGUGAACCUGCGGAUGGAUCAUUAACAAAGCAAUUAAAAGCUUUGAACCACUGUGGUUGAAAGAAGUAAAGAAGAGAGAGGGGUGCGGGGGAGACGGCGGCGUCAUUGGCCGACGAGCCCGCACCCGUCUAUCUAUUAUUAACCCUAGUCAUUGAAUACUCAUUUCAUGUCUAUUACAUUGAUAAUAUCUAAUACAACUGCUAGCAACGGAUCACUCGGCUCUC